ensembl:lncRNA
AAAGUAAUAUAUUUAUUGAGGUUAUAGAUCAUAAUGAUAAUAUAUGCCUCAUAAAUAAACAUUUAUGAUCAGAGAAAACCAGUGAUAAAAUAUUAUAGAAAAUUAUUAUAAAUAUAAGGAGAAAUUGACAGAAUAAAUUGUUGUAAAGAAUUUUGACAAGUUUUCAAUCUUUUGAUUGAUCAAAUAAAUACAAACAAUAGCUGGAGAGAAAUCGGAUAAUAUAAUUAACCUGAUGAAAGAAAGUAUAUUGAAUAUAGCAUACUACAAGCUUAUACAUUUUCAAGUGCUAGUUUCAAAAAUCGAAAGUUAUUAGGUCACAAAGAAAGCCUCAAUAAAUAUCAAAAGGAAUAAAUAUUAAAACCACGUCAUCUAAAUCUAGUUAAACAAAUCUCUACAAUGAACACCAUGAUGCUAACCAACCGAAAGCUCUGUUAUUUCUCCACUGCCCCCAGUCUUCUCUCAGCUCUCACACACAAUUCCAACUACUGGGACAUUGUGAAACAUUUUUAAACACUAUUAGAAGAAAGGAAAGUUAAAUCUUCAAUAAUAAGAACAAGAAUGAGGAUAUUAUUUAUCAAACAAAUAAAAACAGACAAACUGUGUUCAAUGGUCAAGUCAGAGCUACAUGUUUUUUAAUUUUAAAGAACAAAGUAACCAAAGUUAAAUUAAGCUCUCCAUCUGAGAGCUUAAAGAAAUAUCAAAAAUAAACCUAAGAAAACAAAAAGAAGGCGCUAUAAAGAGAAAAAAUAAACAAAUUAGAAAGUUGAAAAAUAGAUCAGAUUUUUUUUAAGUAACAAAACGAAAUCUACAAAAUAGAAAAUCUAGUCAACGAAAAAGGAUAAAAGUUAAAUUUAUAAAAUUAGGAGGAAGGAAGAAAAAAUAAGAGGAGAUUCAGAUGUGUUUAAAAAUAUUGAAAAUCAUGAUGACAUGAUGAAAUGGUCAUCAUGGAAAAGUAAGAUUUAUUCAAACUAAGUUUCCAAAUAGAUAUAGUAUGAACAGAAAAACCACCUAAAAGAAAAGGAAAAUAUUAUAAACAACAACCUCUAAAAUGUCUCUAAACUAGAUGUGUCUUCCAAUGAGACUUUUCACAUUUUCAAGAAACACGUAAUUUCCAUACUGCUUCAACUCUAUCUCAGCUCAUAGACACAGAUGGGAAGUUUGAAAAUUAAUUUUGAAAAGCUAGUAUAACCUUAAUAGAACCUAAUGAGAAAGAAUAAAAAAGUAGCAAGAACAAUCUCAAUUAUGAAUAUAGAAGGAGAAUUCUAAACAAAUACACAAAUUGAGUGCAAUAAUAAAGUAAAAGAAUAAUUUAUUAUGAUUAUUGACAAUACCAUCCAUGAAAAGAAAGUUUCUCAAUGGGAAAUGUAUUAAUAGAAAUAUCACAUAAAUAGGUCAGAAGAGGAAAAAUAAGUCAUCUCAAAAGAUAAGUAAAAGGCAAUUUGUAAAAUCCAACAUCAAUUUUGGAUGAACACCACAAACAACAACAAAGUUCCCAGCAAACUAGAAACAUAAUUUUUUUUUAACAUGAUUUGGAAUACCCAUCUCAAACAAAGGCUGAUUCUGCUAUUGCUUAAGAUAAUACGGCUCUGGGUCUCAAAGUGCGGCCCCCAGACCAGCAGCAUCAGCAUCACCGGGGAACUUGUUAGAACUGCAAAUUCUCAGACUCCACCUCAGUCCUACGGAAUCAGAAAUUCUGAUUGGGUCUUCAAUCUGAAGCCAACUGUUAAAAUGUCAGGAAUUUGGUGAGCCAGUUAUUAAAAACAGCCAUUAUUAAAAAUAAAGUAUAUAAACUUACAGUUAAAGUAUGUUAAAAUCAAAGUUAAUAAAUACUCAAAAUAUGUUGCUUCCUAAAUCUUUUGCUACAUGGUACUAUUAUCUGUUUUUGAGGCAUUGGUGGCUAUUACAUCAGUAUGGUAGAAAUACUAUAUAGUGGUAUGCUUCUGCAUGUCUCUUCCCACUCCACCUUCAGCAACUUCACACUGGUAGCUUGAAAUUGGUCAUGAUGAGAGCAUUUACAGCAGUGAAGUUGGCCAACGCUAAAAAUCAGGUUUCAAUUUGUUGUUCCAUUGUCCAGCUCAGGGGUUGUCAGACUUUUUC